rnacentral:tRNA from 1 species
GGGGGCGAUCUCCGAGAGGUGUUCAACUGCCGCUUCCAAACUGGCUACGCGGGUUCGAUUCCCGUCGCCCGCU